UACGGAGGAUGCAAGCGUUAUCCGGAAUGAUUGGGCGUAAAGCGUCCGCAGGUGGCAAUGUAAGUCUGCUGUCAAAGCGUCUGGCUCAACCAGAUAAAGGCAGUGGAAACUACAUAGCUAGAGUAAGGUAGGGGUAGAGGGAAUUCCUGGUGUAGCGGUGAAAUGCGUAGAGAUCAGGAAGAACACCGGUGGCGAAAGCGCUCUGCUGGACCUUAACUGACACUGAGGGACGAAAGCUAGGGGAGCGAAAGGG
rnacentral:rRNA from 1 species